rnacentral:rRNA from 1 species
AUUGAACGCUGGCGGCAUGCCUUACACAUGCAAGUCGAACGGCAGCACGGGAGUAAUCCUGGUGGCGAGUGGCGAACGGGUGAGUAAUAUAUCGGAACGUGCCCAGUCGUGGGGGAUAACGCAGCGAAAGCUGUGCUAAUACCGCAUACGAUCUAAGGAUGAAAGCGGGGGAUCGCAAGACCUCGCGCGAUUGGAGCGGCCGAUAUCAGAUUAGCUAGUUGGUGGGGUAAAGGCCCACCAAGGCGACGAUCUGUAGCUGGUCUGAGAGGACGACCAGCCACACUGGAACUAAGACACGGUCCAGACUCCUACGGGAGGCAGCAGUGGGGAAUUUUGGACAAUGGGCGCAAGCCUGAUCCAGCAAUGCCGCGUGCAGGAUGAAGGCCUUCGGGUUGUAAACUGCUUUUGUACGGAACGAAACGGCCCUUUCUAAUACAGGGGGCUAAUGACGGUACCGUAAGAAUAAGCACCGGCUAACUACGUGCCAGCAGCCGCCGUAA